rnacentral:misc_RNA from 1 species
GAAAUGCGAUAAGUAAUGUGAAUUGCAGAAUUCAGUGAAUCAUCGAAUCUUUGAACGCACAUUGCGCCCGCCAGAAUUCUGGCGGGCAUGCCUGUUCGAGCGUCAUUUCAACCCUCGAGCUCCCCUUUCGGGGGGAGCCCGGCGUUGGGGACCCGGCGCUAACAACGCCGGCCCCGAAAUGGAGUGGCGGCCCGUCCGCGGCGACCUCUGCGUAGUAACAACCACUCGCACCGGGACCCGGGCGCGGCCACGCCGUAAAACACCCCCCCUUCCGAAUGUUGACCUCGAAUCAGGUAGGAAUACCCGCUGAACUUAAGC